rnacentral:rRNA from 1 species
UACGUAGGGGGCAAGCGUUGUCCGGAAUCAUUGGGCGUAAAGAGCGUGUAGGCGGCUCGGUAAGUCCGCUGUGAAAGUCCAGGUCUCAACCCUGGAAUGCCGGUGGAAACUGUCGAGCUAGAGUCCGGAAGAGGCGAGUGGAAUUCCUGGUGUAGCGGUGAAAUGCGCAGAUAUCAGGAGGAACACCAAUGGCGAAGGCAGCUCGCUGGGACGGUACUGACGCUGAGACGCGAAAGCGUGGGGAGCAAACAGG